UGGCGCUGCGGGGGACAAAAAAGGAAACACGUGGAGAUCCAAUAAAUUCUUUUUAUCGAUUUUCCAAUAAAAAAUACAUUCAUACAGAAACUAUUUUACAAAACAAUUUCAAAUGAAAAAAUCUUGUUAUGCCAUAAAACAAACAAAAAUAGAGCCUCGUAUUCUCAUCUCCGUGGUUAUCCGAUAAAGAUUCUCAAGCUAAAGAGUCUUUAAAAAGUUGAGAAAAAGAUCACAUGGCAAAAAAAAACAAAAAACAUAACACUUAGCGAGCAACAGAAUGCAGAAUUAUAACAAUUCAAGUGUCCAGAACAAUUCACAUCUGAAAAGUCUUUUUUUUGUCUUGUUUUGCGUUUUCUUGAAAGAUGACAGGCCACAGGUGUUUUUACGCAAACGAUGCCCUUUUCUUUCUUCUUUUUAAACGUACAUUUGCUUCACCGUCCAAUCAAAAGCUGAUCAAGAACAAAGGUGUUAAGAGAAGCGAAUGAGGGGGGGAAGGAGUGAGUCAUUUUUACAAUAAUUCUUCAGGCUCUCGUCUUUACUGCUCUCGAAACAACACACUGCGCUCGUUUUUUUUGGUCCCAUACCCUUUCAAAAUAGAAGCUUCCUUACAAAAUUCUCUUAGUUUACAAUGUACAUGUCUUUGCAUUCUUGGUAUUCUCAGUGUAUGGACUUUCUUUAACGCUGCCCACGUUCACCUGCACAGAUCAACGGACGAUCGACCCCUUAAAACCGGCCGUACCUUUCAUAGCCGAUCGGGAUCUUUGUCAACACUUUCAUGAGCCUUUCAAUUUCAAACAAAAGUCAAAGCUCAUCUAAUUGUGAAUUUAAAAAAAAAAAAAAAACCUCUCAAAAAGUCCAGGGAGGAGCGCGUCGAAGUCGAGGAACUCAAGUUAAAACGCGGAUGUGGUGAAGGUGUUACGGACAAACGUGUCUCCUCUCAGGUCGGACGAGGACAGAAACCUCCUGACCUGCAGCACGAGUCCCAGCUGAACCGGUCGGGCGGUUUUCUUUUUCGUACCGCUUGUUCAGAUCACGGGUUGUUUCAACCACACCGAUUGGCCCGAGGGGCGAGACUCUCCAAAAACACACAACAUCAAAACACACUCGCGAUGGAGAAAGUCGUCAUCGCUUCGGCGGGACUCCUUUCCUUUAGAGACUUUUUCGACACAUGAACGGCGACGUGGAAACACCUUCUUUGCGGUUAAAAUCCUAAUCUGUCACAGCCUCGGUGGCCGGGCCGGCCACGUUUUCAUGAGAACAUAUUUCCAAAACUCUGUACCCUUGACGGCGAGUAUCCUCGCCAAUUUGUACUACACAGUAGUAACUCUUUACAAAACUGAGUUGCUUUUUCGAGUGCUCCAAGAUUCUGUCCGGGACCUGGAUCCUUUUUUGGGGUGAAUUAUUUAGUCUAGAUAAUAGUUAUAACGAUAUGUUCAACAGAGAAAUUGCCAGUCAUUAUCAAGAUGAUGUUUAGCCGUUUUCUGUAUUGUUAUUAGUUAGGAGGAAUCGGUUGCCAGACAAAAGGGGCGAAGGUGCGACUGCACGGAACAGAGCCUUUUUAAAAAAAAAGCAAUUCAAUAACCGCAACCCGCAGAUGUGUGUGUGUGUGUGUGAGAAAGAGAUCUAUCUUACAGGACAAGGCCACUUACAUAAGGCAUCAGUAAGGUCAACAGUGCAUUUACAGGUAGAACAAAAGACAAGAGCAAAAGUGAAGAAACAAAUCCCACAAUCAAGAAAGUUGCCAAGCAACAGUGGUAUUCCCAACUUAUCAAGAACAAAAGAAAAUGACUGCCUUAUGUUUUACGCAAAUAUACUAUGAUAUCGAGUAUUAUGAACGUAGCUGCUCUCAAAUGGGAUUUUGUCGUCCCACAAGCAAACGGGUGAGCAACACAUCCCCAGAUCCCAUGCGAGUCCUGUUAUAAUGGCAUAACUGUUUUGUGUACAACCGUUUUUUUUUUUUGUAAUUUCGUUUUUUAGGAUACAAAGUUUACACAAUGGACAACAAAAUGAGCUUAAUAGCGUGUAUGCUUUUAAGACAGGCUACGUAAUACAUUGCACUUUUAAUAGCUGCACUAAACUAAACGACCUCCCGUGUUUUUUGGAAAAAAUCAAAAGGGGGGGGUGGAGGGGUGGCCGCAGUUUUGUCGCCUCCGGGCAGAAAGGGGGCGCUCUUCUCUCUGCUGGCACGGUGUUGUUGUUGUUGUUGUUUGCAUUCAUUGUCAGUGAGACCACGGGUACCCCCCCCCCAAAAAAAAAUCUCCCUCCCCCUUUUCUAACAUCCGUGUCAUUCACCCGCUGUUCCACAAUGCAAGCUCCAUCCGCUCCAUGAAAGCCGGCACAGGCGUCCAGUCUCAGGCAAACACACGUCGGUGGAGGAGCGGAUCCCCCGCACGAGUCCCAUAAUCCUCCAGGAAAAAAGCGUUCACCAUACAGAAGAGUCUCUUUCCGUCUACUCCAGCCCGGUCCCCCCCAAACUCCCCCCCCUUUAUUUAUUUAUUUAUAUUUUAUCC
ensembl:lncRNA